rnacentral:rRNA from 1 species
UACGAAGGGGGCUAGCGUUGCUCGGAAUUACUGGGCGUAAAGCGCACGUAGGCGGUCUUUUAAGUCGGUGGUGAAAUCCUGGAGCUCAACUCCAGAACUGCCUUCGAUACUGGAAGACUUGAGUCCGGGAGAGGUGAGUGGAACUGCGAGUGUAGAGGUGAAAUUCGUAGAUAUUCGCAAGAACACCAGUGGCGAAGGCGGCUCACUGGCCCGGUACUGACGCUGAGGCGCGAAAGCGUGGGGAGCAAACAGG